rnacentral:snRNA from 11 species
GACCUAACUUCAACAGGACAUAUAUUAAAAUCGGUAUGAUACAGUUUAGCGUGGCCCCCUACACAAGAAUGACAAAUUAAUAAAAUGUUCCAUAAUUUU